rnacentral:lncRNA from 1 species
GUUUAUUUAUAUUUAAUACAUAUUUUAAUACACAUUUCCUACAUCCACAUAGUUAUCCUUACGUAUCCAUCUGUCUAUUUAGUCAAAAUCGAAAUGUGCGGACCGUCAAGACGUUCCUCCUUGAUGGUCGCUGUGCUUGCGAUCGUUUGUUCAAUGCUUACUGAAUUUUUUGGGUAUAUGCUCAUCUGUAACUAGAAAUAAUCUUUCAAAUUGAAAUGCAUGUUGUAAAGCCUUUUCGUUUGUCUUACCCCAUAGCGAGGGAUGGUCCAAAGUGGAAUGUAAUCACCUCAAUGGCAUCCUGGGGUGUGAUUUGUGCCGCCGCCGUAGUUCUAUUGCAUGGAGCCCAUUAUGCAAGUACCUAAAUAUCUGCUUAUUUAACUAAAAAAUAUUAAAUUCCAGUCUUAUAUGUAGAAGAAGCCUUUCAUGGUGCUAACAUGGCUUAUUGUGGCUCCAGUUGUUGGAACAGUUUUGGUCGUUACAUCAUUCAUAUCUGCAGAGCAACAGUCGGAGACCAAAGAUGCUGUCGAAGGCACUUUGAUAGCCAUCAUUUUAAUAGGUAAGUCGUCGGCUGGCAAUCUCCUAUGAAUUUUGAUUGAAAAACUUUCUUCUCUUGCAGCCAUGUUUGGAUUUUUUGUUUAUAUUCCCCUCAAAUAUUACCAGACGAUGAUUUAGUUUGUAAUUUUAUUCAAAUUUAUGUGAAUGUAAUAAAUCCUUGUCAGUGUCUGGAAUCCCUACUCCGGAAUGUGCUUGUCGGUGAGUCGCCAGAGUAAAUGCUAUGCGAUCGCCACAUGUGUUUAUUUCUAUGGACUGCUGGACAUUGCGGUGAAGGUCUACUGUCUCGGUAUACACAAUCAAGUAUCAUCCAACGCUAAAGCGACAAUCCAGUAACACCUUUUUCUGUUUUCUGUCUUGCAGCCUAUGAUGGAUUUAAGCAACGUUUAUAAUCGUUGGACUCUCGGCCUGGCUGCCGAUUCUGCUAGCCGCCACUUUGCUCUUUUCGGGCGCCAGUCAGGCAAGUUCAAGGGACACUCUCAACUCCCCACUAGCUCUCGUUUCUCCAUCAGGAGCUGCGUGUACUCAUUCUCACCUCGAUCGUAUUGAAUGUACUUGGUGGCUGCCUGUGGAUCCUGGCGGAGACUUGGGAAGCAGACUCUCUAAUAGAAACAGUGUUGAGAAUCAUUUCUCUUUUACUUUUCCUAAGUAAGUUAAGUUGAAACACUUUAAGGCUCAACACUUCCAAGCGUUCUCUUUCAGUUCUGAUCGGAUUGCUCGUUUAUUUUCCAUGUAGGUUUAUGAAAGAAUUCCAAAGAUAAAUGCAACAGAAAACACACACAAAAUCUUUAGCGCAAUUCAACUGUUUUUUUUUUCUAUUUAUAAUUUGAAAUAAGUCACAAAAGCUCGAGUUGGCCAAAUGGCAAUGGACAAAAUUUGCAUAAAAUAACAAUGGACGACAACAAAUCAAAUGCGAAAAUAGACAGACAGAGACACAGCCACACAAGCUUCGGCCUCGCCCUCUGCGGUGGAGCGCCCUCGGUGUUAGGCCAGACAGCAAAUAGAAAGUGAAAAUCAAAUACCAAAAUGCUACCGUUUAUUUUGUUGUUUUUUUGGCCAUUUUCGUAUUUUCUUACUGGGUUUAUUUGUCGAGUGCCUAAUUUAAAUAAACAUUUAUUUGUACAAUGGCCUUAAUACGUUGGGCAAAUGACUUCCUGAAUUGAACAGAGCGCGGCGCAAAAGCCGGCCAAAUUGCAUAAUCGGUGGGACAAAUGCAGCGGAUUAUGAAAUCCUUCGCUCAAAAGGCUGCCAGGCAGCAGCAGCCACCAGAGACCGAGCCCGAGCACGAGCAGAGUGGAGUCUGGGGCUGGAUACCGACCUGGCAACAACCUGUCGCAUAUUUAAAGCGAUUAACGGCACGAUUCCAGUCGCUGGUUGCCAGCAGCAGCAGCAGCAGCAGCAGCCACGGCAUAGAAAUGGAAAUUGAAAU